ensembl:lncRNA
GGGGGUAGGUUGACAUGUUAUAUUGGAACCCUGAGCAGAGGGGGGGUAGUUUGAUAUGUUAUAUUGGAACCCUGGUGAGCAGAGGAGGGGUAGUUUGAUAUGUUAUAUUGGAACCCUGGUGAGCAGAGGAGCGGUAGUUCGACAUGUUAUAUUGGAACCCUGGUGAGCAGAGGGGGGGUAGGUCGACAUGUCGGCAUCCUGGUUGCAUCAGUGCCUGGUAUGGCAACUGCUCGGCCUUCGACCGCAAGGCACUACAAGAGGGUGUACGGCCCAGUACAUCACUGGGACCAAGCUUCCUGCCAUCCAGGACCUCUAUACCAGGCAGUGUCAGAGGAAGGCCCUAAAAAUGGUCAAAGACUCCAGCCCCCUAGUCAUAGACUGUUCUCUCUGCUACCGCACGGCAAGCGGUACCAGAUCUCCAUGUAUAGGUCCAAAAGGCUUCUCAACAGCUUCUACCCCCAAGCCAUAAGACUCCUGAACAUCUAAUCAAAUGGCUACCCAGACUAUUUGCAUUGUCCCCCCAUCCCCUCUUUUACGCUGCUGCUGCUCUCUGUUUAUUAUCUAUGCAUAGUCACUUUAACUCUACCUACAUGUACAUAUUACCUCAAUUACCUGGACUAACCGGUGCUCCCGCACAUUGACUCUGUACCUGUAACCCCUGUAUAGAGCCUCGCUAUUGUUAUCUACUGCUGCUCUUUAAUUAUUUGUUACUUUUCUUUCUUAUUUUUUACUUAACGUAUUUUUCUUAAAACAUUGUUGGUUAAGGGCUUGUAAGUAAGUAUUUCACUGUAAGGUUGUUACCUGUUGUAUUUGGUGUAUGUGACAAAUAACAUGUGAUUUGAUUUGAUUCAACACUGACCAACUUUGAGCGACUUUAACACUGACCACUUUAACACUGACUGACUUGCAUCCAGACUCUGAUACUGGUUAGUUAGCAUGUUUCCACUGUUUGUUUUCUUUUCUCUUCCUUCUCCCUCAUCACUCUUUCUCAGGAGACUCUGUUCCCACAACACCCUUAUGUAACUGCCUGCAUUACUCUCUCUCUCUCUCUCUCGCCCCUUACCCAUCCACUAUCAGUGUCUGUGUCCUCAGAGCGCGCUCCUGGCCUAGUCUCUGAUUGGCUCUGACAAAGUAAACAUGGCUGCCAUCAGAGCCCUUGUAAGUGGAGGAAGAAGGAGGGGGAGAUAUGGAAAUCACUAGAUGGCCACGCUAGAAACGACAUCAGCUAUUUCACAUGACCUGUUGAGAUAGUACAUGAGCUAUCUGCUCUGAAUCUACAUCUAGGGUUAUGUCUAAGAUUAGGAUAUAGGUUCAUGGUUAAAGUAAGAGGUUAGACAAAACAUAGUAAAUAUAAAUCUGACACUCUUUAGUAUGAUAUGUUACGUUUGGUGUUACAUAAGAGAGAAGUUUACUUAAUGCAAAAACAAAAGUAGGGUGGAUGGAUGGACAUAUAACACUAAAGUUUAGCAACCGAAGGUUGCGUGUUUGUAUCUCAUCACAGACAACUUUAGUAUUUUAGCUAAUGAGAAACUUUGCAUCUACUUAAUACUUUUUAACAACUUUACAAUUACUUAGCGUGUCAG